rnacentral:lncRNA from 1 species
ACCUUACUCUUCUGUUGGUUGUUACCUUAAUGUAGACUCCUCUACUUGGGCUGUAUGAACUCAGUGCAGCCUUCUUCUACUGUAUACUUUCUGUGUCUACAGAUCAGGUCAUGAUUGCUAGCUAACAUCCUUCUUAUGAUGUGUGAUUUAAAAAAAAAUAAAAUAAAAAAUCAUUGUAAAACAUCUGGUUAUAUAUGCACAGAAUAGAUAGAAUGAGUACAGAAAGAAUCAAAUAAAACAGUGUAAAGCAGCAAUAUUUGGGACCGGAAUCUUUUGUCUUGUCCUGUGAUAGAAGAGAAAAUUGGGCACUCUUUGAAAUAUUUUGGAUUAAAAGGGAAAUAUCAUCCUGUGACCUUUGAAUAGAAACUCUAGAUUCAUCACCCUGUGGAAUAAUGAAAACCUUCAGGUUGCAAGUAGACAGUAGGAGUAGGAGGCUGUUUUAGUUCUAAGGCAAGACAACUUUGCACCAAGAACAAAGAAAUCAGGGAAACCUAAUUAUUGACAUUCUGAUAUAAUCCUAUUUGAUCCAGUAAACGGGAGGGACUGAUUUCAAGUUUUUUUCUGGGGGGGGGCAGGGGGUGGAAGGAAUCUCAAAUCACGAGAAUUAUCGACUUUGUAUUUGGGGCAAAAAGCAAAGUAUCUUGACUUCAGAGCUCAGAUGUUGAGCUCUCACUUGCGUUAUGCAGGUGUCUUGAUUUAUUUAUUUUCCUAUAUCAUUCAGCUCCAUUUAGAAUAGGUGGACUUGUAUUCAGGUAAUCAUGGUUUGUUUUUUGAGGUGAAGAGCCUUGUUUAGAGAUGGCACUUAACAUGUUACGUUGUUGCAAUGUGUAAUAUCACACAGCAGUCUAUGUUUCACUCCAUGGGCAGCUGAAUGUCAUCUUUGCAUAGAGUCAUAGAAUCACAAGGCUGGAAAGGACCUACAUGAUCAUCUAGUCCAAACAUCCUCCUAUCACCAUUACUUUCCACUGAGCUGCUGGCUGCAUCUCACCCUAGGGAAUCACAUUAAUUCAAGUAGACAGAAAGACCUCUUCUUUACAAGAAGACUAUGGGAGGCUAACUUAAUAGAAGUACACUGGAAGCAGAGAGACACCCAAUGUCCCUACACCCUAUUAUAUGCUUGGGGAAGCAGCAAGUGACCUCGAAUUGAAUAUUUGCAUAGUUAAGUGGGGAUUGAUCCAAGUUCAUGCUGCCUCUGUGCUAAGCUGGCAAGAUGUUACUUAACUUGGUCUAUUAC